rnacentral:rRNA from 1 species
UACGGAGGGGGCUAGCGUUGUCCGGAAUCAUUGGGCGUAAAGCGCGUGUAGGCGGUCCGGUAAGUCCGCUGUGAAAGUCGAGGGCUCAACCCUCGAAUGCCGGUGGAUACUGUCGGGCUUGAGUGCGGGAGAGGCGAGUGGAAUUCCUGGUGUAGCGGUGAAAUGCGCAGAUAUCCGGAGGAACACCGAUUGCGAAGGCAGCUCGCUGGAACGUUACUGACGCUGAGACGCGAAAGCGUGGGGAGCAAACAGG